rnacentral:rRNA from 1 species
GGUAGUCCACGCCGUAAACGGUGGGCACUAGUUGUGGGGACCUUCCACGGUCUCUGCGACGCAGCUAACGCAUUAAGUGCCCCGCCUGGGGAGUACGAUCGCAAGAUUAAAACUCAAAGGAAUUGACGGGGCCCCGCACAAGCAGCGGAGCAUGCGGCUUAAUUCGACGCAACGCGAAGAACCUUACCAAGGCUUGACAUAUACAGGAAUAUGGCAGAGAUGUCAUAGCCGCAAGGUCUGUAUACAGGUGGUGCAUGGUUGUCGUCAGCUCGUGUCGUGAGAUGUUGGGUUAAGUCCCGCAACGAGCGCAACCCUCGUUCUGUGUUGCCAGCAUUAAGUUGGGGACUCACAGGAGACUGCCGGGGUUAACUCGGAGGAAGGUGGGGAUGACGUCAAAUCAUCAUGCCCCUUAUGUCUUGGGCUGCACGCAUGCUACAAUGGCUGGUACAAACGGCUGCGAUACCGCAAGGUGGAGCGAAUCCGAUAAAGCCAGUCUCAGUUCGGAUUGGGGUCUGCAACUCGACCCCAUGAAGUCGGAGUUGCUAGUAAUCGUAGAUCAGCAACGCUACGGUGAAUACGUUCCCGGGGCUUGUACACACCGCCCGUCACGUCACGAAAGUCGGUAACACCCGAAGUCAGUGGCCCAACC